AUUGAACGCUGGCGGCAGGCCUAACACAUGCAAGUCGAGCGGAUGAAGGGAGCUUGCGCCUGGAUUCAGCGGCGGACGGGUGAGUAAUGCCUAGGAAUCUGCCUGGUAGUGGGGGAUAACGUCCGGAAACGGGCGCUAAUACCGCAUACGUCCUGAGGGAGAAAGUGGGGGAUCUUCGGACCUCACGCUAUCAGAUGAGCCUAGGUCGGAUUAGCUAGUUGGUGGGGUAAAGGCCUACCAAGGCGACGAUCCGUAACUGGUCUGAGAGGAUGAUCAGUCACACUGGAACUGAGACACGGUCCAGACUCCUACGGGAGGCAGCAGUGCGGAAUAUUGGACAAUGGGCGAAAGUCUGAUCCAGCCAUGACGCGCGUGAAGAAGGUCUUCGGAUUGUAAAGCACUUUAAGUUGGGAGGAAGGGCAGUAAGUUAAUACCUUGCUGUUUUGACGUUACCAACAGAAUAAGCACCGGCUAACUUCGUG
rnacentral:rRNA from 1 species